rnacentral:rRNA from 1 species
GACGUAGGGGGCUAGCGUUGUCCGGAAUUACUGGGCGUAAAGAGCUCGUAGGCGGUCUGUUUAGUCGGGUGUGAAAGCCCUCGGCUCAACCGAGGAAUUGCAUUCGAUACUGGCAGGCUAGAGUCUAGCAGAGGGAAGUGGAAUUCCCGGUGUAGCGGUGAAAUGCGCAGAUAUCGGGAAGAACACCGGUGGCGAAGGCGGCUUCCUGGGCUAAGACUGACGCUGAGGAGCGAAAGCUAGGGUAGCAAACAGGAUUAGAUACCCGCGUA